rnacentral:SRP_RNA from 1 species
UGCAGCCGGGGAGUUAGCGGUGCCCUGUACCUGCAAUCCGCUAUAGCAGGGGUGAUGUCCGGUCUAGGGUUCGUAGCUUGGGAGCUGCCCUUUUAAAGGGAUGCUGACGUCCGGGUCUUACGCAACAGAUAUUUGUGAACCGUGUCAGGUCAGGAAUGAAGCAGCACUAAGCAAAACCAUCUGUGUGCCGUGAGGGUGCCUGGAUUGAGUCUGCUUGAGAGGUAACGUCCUGGGAUAUGGAUUCGAAACAGGGCGCACG